rnacentral:lncRNA from 1 species
UGAAGCAUUAUUUUGUUAAACUAAGACAAUCCAUAGACAGGUCAUUGAUGCUCUUCCUGAACUGAGGUAGGACCUAUAAUUUAAUGAAAUAAUCUCAAAUACAUUACUUUUAUCUUAUGAGAACUUUAUUUGAUCAAUAACUGUCAAAAACUGUUAUAUUUUGUGAUUUGUGAUUUAAAACUAGGUCUUGUGUUUCUGUUUUCAAUGAUAUAUUGUUGAAACUUUAUAGUCAAAUCCUACGUGUGCAAAUUAUCUGGAAGUCCAAAUUGAAGCCAUGAAAGACAGAGUGAUGUCCAGGACUAAGACACAAGAGACCAGUCAGAACAGUUCUGAGAACAGCCUGACAGACAUCCUCAGUGUCCGGAGUGCACACACACACACACAAUCUUAAUUUUUAGGGUUUUUUUACCUUUAUUUAAAUAGGCAAGUUAGUUAAGAACAAAUUCUUAUUUACAAUGACGGCCUACCCCGCCGCCCUAUGGGACCAGUGCCUUAGACCGCUGCGCCAAUCGGGAGCCCUAUUGAGACCUCAUGGCCUCCCAUGGACCAGAGAGGAUUAGCCAGCAACAUCCCAGCGUCUGCCCUGCCUGUCAUCCUAGUACCUCCACUGCCCUUUCAACCCUGCAAGGCAGUAACUGUAUCGUUUUUCUUUUGAUCUGAAGCCUGACACUGUUCAACACGUCAUGUCUCAUCCUCCAUCUUUUGAAUAAAGCUUCCUCUGCAUGAUUUUAUUCUAACAUCGUCCAUGUUUUUUUUGCAACCCUCAAAAACAAAUGUAGAUCCCCAUGUAACGACACGUGAUAUUCCACAAGGGGGCACUAAAGGUCUGUAACGAAAGGAGGUUGAACACUGUACCUUGAACACCAUCUGAACUUAUACACAGCCUCAACUAUUAAAAUGACAGAAAAUGUCAUAUCUGUUCUCACACAUUAAGAGCGAGAGAUAGAGAGCAAAGCAUAGAAGGAUGUUGGGUUACAUAUGAACACUUUCCAUCAUACUCUCAGGAAGGUUAGGUUAGUUAGGCUACAUGUGAUCGUGCGUCACCAUAACUGAAAGAAGGCCUUCUUUCUUUCACGGUUUCACGUCAUGGUGCAAGUAUUUGCAUAAACUGGGAAACAUUUGCAUACAUUUCAAUUUCCCUGGCCGGCAGUGAAGGGGUUAAUCAGCUGUGUGCUCUCAGUUUACGCUCACUAGCAGAAUCUGUCUGCCACAGCUGCUGCGCAAAGGCCAAUCUUCUAUCACAGAGAGCGCUGGCAACCAGAGGUGUUUCCAGAGGCCAACAACACAGAGCAGGUUAGAGAAGCUUCAAACCUAACCGCACGCACACACUCAUAACUCCCUGUUGGGGUGAGUCUAUCUACAAAUAAACACAGCAAGAGGAUUACAACAGCUAACACAGGAAGCUGAAAUCCUGGGGUCCGCCUUAUGAUCACUCAGUUCUACCACAUUUUGAAAAGGUGCUUUUCAUCCAUGACCAGGCCAUGUUUUGGCCAUUUUGCUGCACUAGGCAUGACAAUUGCAGACAUUCUCCAAUCCGGCAAAGAAAUAGGCCUAUAGUGUACAGUGUCGGCCUAUAAUGUAAUUUUAUAACUAUGCCUACCAUAAGAUAGCCUACCAUUUGUAAAACAUGCAGUUGUGUUGGCUUUAUUAACCGAGUCCUGAUUCCUGACAAAAGCUUAUAGUGACUUGUCCUUUAAGAUAUGAACAUCAGUUACACAUCAGCUACCCAAGUUUAUUAUGAGUUUUCUUGAGGAUUUUUGCAAAGAGACCAAUGCUGAUGUAAAGGCCUAAGUCUUCACAGCAGUACAAACCUGAAAUUACAUUUACAUUUAAGUCAUUUAGCAGACGCUCUUAUCCAGAGCGACUUACAAAUUGGUGCAUUCACCUUAUGAUAUCCAGUGGAACAACCACUUUACAAUAGUGCAUCUAAAUCUUUUAGGGGG